UAAUAUAAUAUUUAGAGUUAAAAAUGUUUUUUUUUUUUAAUUUAGUAAUGCUCAAUUAAGUUUCUGAAUCUCAUUGAUGCUUAUCUUUCCCAUAAUUAAUAUUUUAAUCGAUGCUUAUGUAUGGGGGUUUAUUUGCUUAUUGUGUUUUUGGAGAAUGUUCUUACAUUGAUUAAAUAAGAUUUAACAUUGAUAAUAUACAGAUUAUGUACAUAUUUUUAGUAUUUCUUUUGCAAAAAUUUGUACUUAUAAUUUUUUUUAACUGUUGCAUAGUAAAUUCCAUUAGUCUUGUGUUUUCUUUCAGUUAUAUUUAUAUUUCUGAUACUUCAUUAUUCUUAAUCAUAAUUGACGAAAUUAAAAUCUUCUGCUUUUUUUAAAAUGAAAAAAAAAAAUUUGCUUACUUGGAUUUGCAAUUAUAAUUUUAAUUUGCAGUUUUAUCAAAUAAAAAUUUUAUUGAAUAUUUUCAAAAAUAAAUAAAUAAGUCCUGGAUUUGUAGGCAAAUUCGAUUGGAAAAGUCAGUGAAAAAACUUUUCUGACCAUAAACUCUGUUUGCUACUUCUAAAUAGAAAUGCGUAAAUGUUUUUUUGAAUGCUUAAAUGCAUUUUUAAUGGAUAUUUUAAUUUUUAUUAAAUUAUAUACGAAUUUUCUUAUUUAAAUGUAAUUUUGUAUUUAACAGGAUGUAACAUGUACUACUAUACUGAAUGGAGCUACUGUAAAGAAUUAUUGGAAAUUUAGUAUCCCGCUGCCCAAGUUCUAUUCAACUACAAGAUCUGCAAGUUACUAGUGGAACUACAUCUGUUGUUGUUGAUGACCUUGAAAUCACAGCUUGUUAUGCUGGGCAUGUAUUGGGUUUUGCAAUGUUUUUGAUAAAAGUAGGAUCACAAUCA